UACGAAGGGGGCUAGCGUUGCUCGGAAUGACUGGGCGUAAAGGGCGCGUAGGCGGAUGGUACAGUCAGAUGUGAAAUUCCCGGGCUUAACCUGGGGGCUGCAUUUGAUACGUAUUGUCUUGAGUUCGGAAGAGGGUCGUGGAAUUUCCAGUGUAGAGGUGAAAUUCGUAGAUAUUGGAAAGAACACCGGUGGCGAAGGCGGCGACCUGGUCCGAUACUGACGCUGAGGCGCGAAAGCGUGGGGAGCAAACAGG
rnacentral:rRNA from 1 species